UACGUAGGUGGCAAGCGUUAUCCGGAUUUAUUGGGCGUAAAGGGAACGCAGGCGGUCUUUUAAGUCUGAUGUGAAAGCCUUCGGCUUAACCGGAGUAGUGCAUUGGAAACUGGGAGACUUGAGUGCAGAAGAGGAGAGUGGAACUCCAUGUGUAGCGGUGAAAUGCGUAGAUAUAUGGAAGAACACCAGUGGCGAAAGCGGCCUACUGGACGGUGACUGACGCUGAGGCUCGAAAGCGUGGGGAGCAAACAGG
rnacentral:rRNA from 1 species